rnacentral:tRNA from 257 species
GCCGGUGUGGUGAAAUUGGUAUACACGACGGAUUCAAAAUCCGUUGCCUUCGGGCGUGGCGGUUCAAGUCCGCCCACCGGUACCA